AUGAGUUACCAGAGCCCGACGACCCAGCGGACGCGCGCGGCCCCGCCGCUCCCGGCGGCCGUGGGCGCGGAGCUCGCGCGGCUCGAGGCGCGCCUGGGGCAGCCCGCCGGCCCUGACGCGCGGCAGCGGCUCGCGGGGCUCGGCGAGGCGGCGGCGGCGCGGGUGCUGCGCACGAUCGCCGACUCCCGGACGCCCGUCAAGACGCUCUCCGGCUUCAUCAGGUACCUGGCGGACAAGGCCGACAAGGACUUUGAGAUGAUGCAGCGCAACGCGCGGGGCAUCCCUCCCGCCGAGAGCGCCGCCUGUUGCAGCUCCGGCCCUUCGCAGGGAGGUGAGCCACCCUUUCCCCCCUUUUAUUUAUUGUAUAUGGUCUGCUUGGUUGGAUGUGGAAUGCAGUUAGAGUUAGGGGAUGAGUGUGCAUUUGUUGGUUCUCACGAUGGUGCAGUUUGCGGGGAUGCGGCUGUCGCAGUACUGCAUUUUGUGGCGAAACGACAUGACAUGGCCAAGUAUGCUGAUCUCAAUGACUCUGUAUCUGGGCCACAGUACCAUAGCGAUGAUCAAGUUGAUGUUCAAAGCCCUUACACUGAAGAGAUAGCUUUUCGUCCGUCAAACCAUGCUGGGAGUCCCAGUCAACCAUGGCCUAUCAAUUUGCAAGAUAACAUGGGUCCUGUCAGAGAAAUUGUUUGUAUAGAACCAAACGUGGCCACGGUGGCAGCUAAUACUCCAUCUAGUCGGGCCUCCUUGCAAAUCCAGGAUGACAUUCAGAUUAAUGAUCCUAUCCGAGCAAUGACUCCUGCUAUGAUGCCAGCAACAACCCGGCCCAGGAUGGCAGCCGAGAACCCAUCCUCAAUGACACCUGCUAUGAUGCCAGUUCCAACCCUGCCAUGGAUGGCAGGCGAGAACCCGCGCGCUUGGAUCCCGCUCCUGAACCUGGACUAUGCUCCUACUCCUGAUGUUAUGAUGCAGGGGGGUAGCCCUGGCCAUUGCAUGUCCAUUGGGCUGCAUAAUGAUAUGAGGAUUGAAAGCCCCAUACCAAAUGCCAUUCAUACACCUCCGAGAAGUGUUUCCACACCAAGCCCUGUGCGGGAUCUUUCAAGACCUGUUCAGCGAAUGGUUCUUCCGUCAGGAAGCCCACAUAGCCCAGCAUGGGCAAUGGCGCCAAGUUGUGCAACCUAUCAUGCCACAGAAAAUGCAUUGAGGGAGAAAGCAAGUCCUCAAAUGCAAGCACUGGAGGAAUUGGAGUUCAUGAAGAGAUUUAUGAUUUUUGCAUACCUUCGUCAGAAGAGGAUAGAAGAUGAACUAUCUGUGGACUAUAUUAGAUCCUUCAAGCACCUUUCCAUGGUUCAGUUUGAGUCAGAAAUCUGGAGAGCAUUUGGUUACAAGUGCAACAAGAGUCUACCAUUGUAUUGUAGAGAUAACAGGGGAUUCUGUAGUGAAACUUUUCAAGAUUCACAUAUAGGUGUAUUCCAGACACGCAUACUGGGCAAGCUCUAA
rnacentral:rRNA from 1 species